UAGCAGGUUCUAGGAAGUAUUUACUGGAAAACAUUUCCUCGAGUAGAUUCUCUCUCCUCACAUUCCAUUCUGUUCUCAUCUAUGCUUUGUCAGCAUUUGUUUAUUUAUUUUAGUUCUAGCUACAAGUGGAUUCCAGCCACUGUCAAUUCUGCUUUUGUCCGUUUUAAGUCCUUAUUUAUUUCAAACCUGUUAGACUGAUAAAGGAGCUAAGGAUUUGUACUCAUAGAUACUUAUAGUCCUAUCUCCCUUUUGUAGCAAAUAUGUAGAAGGGGGGAAAUCUGGCUUUUUGCAAUUCCAGCCACAGGACUUGUGUUCCCAGCAAACAACACAACAUACAGCCUUGGGUCGGAAACUCCCAGAAUUACUGAGGGAAGAAGAGGGGUUUUCCAGUGAUCUGUCCUUUAGGGUUUAAAAGCGCAUCCUCGGGAGCGACUCUUUCAUUCUGCAUGAAGUUGUGAGCUACCAGAGCCCAGCGACUCCCUGAACAUAGGCAUCCUCGUCUUCCCCAUGCACCUGGACCAGGAUCAGUGAUCGCUGCAAAUUUCGAAAGUACCUCAGGAGAAGCCAGCUGGCCUUCUGGAUCAGAGAGAUUCGGCUAAAAGGCUUUCCAAAUGACUUCUAACCGCUUUGGCAAGCCUGGGAGACUGGGAGCUAAAAACACCGGUUGAUAAUAUGUCCACAGAAGCCGCAAAUGUGCAGCAGUGUGAAGGCUCGCUAUUGCAAGUCAGUUCCACUGAGGAGGCGUCGCUGCUUCUGCCGCUGAUGUGGCGGACGUUGCCAAGUCAUCUUAAAAAAAAAAAAAAAAAAAAAAAAGGAA